AAUUAACGCUGGCGGCGUGCUUAACACAUGCAAGUCUUACGAGAAAGUUCUUCGGAAUGAGUAAAGUGGCGUACGGGUGCGUAACACGUAGGUAACCUGCCUUCGAGAAGGGGAUAACAUGCCGAAAGGCGUGCUAAUACCAUAUAAUGUCUCCGAAACUACGGUUUUGGCGAUCAACGGAUGGCCUCUAUUUAUAAGCUAUCGCUCGAAGAUGGGCCUGCGCACCAUUAGCUAGUUGGUAGGGUAACGGCCUACCAAGGCUAUGAUGGUUAGCUGGUCUGAGAGGACGACCAGCCACACUGGAACUGAGACACGGUCCAGACUCCUACGGGAGGCAGCAGUGGGGAAUCUUGGACAAUGGGGGAAACCCUGAUCCAGCAACGCCGUGUGAGUGAUGAAGGUCUUCGGAUUGUAAAGCUCUGUUAGCCGGGACAAACCCGCAAGCAUCAGAUCCUUGCGAUUGAUGGUACCGGCAGAGGAAGCACCGGCUAACU
rnacentral:rRNA from 1 species